rnacentral:rRNA from 1 species
ACAAGCAGCGGAGCAUGUGGUUUAAUUCGAAGCAACGCGAAGAACCUUACCUAGACUUGACAUCUCUGAAUUACCCGUAACUGGGGAAGCUCUUCGGAGCAGGAAGACAGGUGGUGCAUGGUUGUCGUCAGCUCGUGUCGUGAGAUGUUGGGUUAAGUCCCGCAACGAGCGCAACCCUUAUCGUUAGUUGCUACCAUUAAGUUGAGCACUCUAGCGAGACUGCCCGGGUUAACGGGAGGAAGGUGGGAUGACGUCAAAUCAUCAUGCCCCUUAUGUCUAGGGCUACACACGUGCUACAAUGGUGAGGACAAAGAGACGCAAGACCGCGAGGUGGAGCAAAUCUCACAAACCUCAUCCCAGUUCGGAUUGCAGGCUGAAACUCGCCUGCAUGAAGCCGGAGUUGCUAGUAAUCGCGAAUCAGCAUGUUACGGUGAAUACGUUCCCGGGCCUU